CCUACGGGGGGCAGCAGUAGGGAAUCUUCCGCAAUGGACGCAAGUCUGACGGAGCAACGCCGCGUGAGUGAGGAAGGUCUUCGGAUUGUAAAACUCUGUUGCCAGGGACGAAUGGUUAGGAGAGGGAAUGCUCCUAAAGUGACGGUACCUGAGAAGAAAGCCCCGGCUAACUACGUGCCAGCAGCCGCGGUAAUACGUAGGGGGCAAGCGUUGUCCGGAAUUAUUGGGCGUAAAGCGCGCGCAGGCGGUUUUUUAAGUCUGAUGUGAAAAGGCAGGGCUCAACCUUGUUUGGCAUUGGAAACUGGAAGACUGGAGUGCAGAAGAGGAGAGUGGAAUUCCACGUGUAGCGGUGAAAUGCGUAGAGAUGUGGAGGAACACCAGUGGCGAAGGCGACUCUCUGGUCUGUAACUGACGCUGAGGCGCGAAAGCGUGGGGAGCAAACAGGAUUAGAUACCCGUGUAGUC
rnacentral:rRNA from 1 species